AUUGAACGCUGGCGGCAGGCCUAACACAUGCAAGUCGAACGAGUGGCGGACGGGUGAGUAAUGUCUGGGAAACUGCCCGAUGGAGGGGGAUAACUACUGGAAACGGUAGCUAAUACCGCAUACCAUCGGAUGUGCCCAGAUGGGAUUAGCUAGUAGGUGGGGUAAUGGCUCACCUAGGCGACGAUCCCUAGCUGGUCUGAGAGGAUGACCAGCAACAAUGGAACGGAGACACGGUCCAGACGCCUACGGGAGGCAGGAGGGGGGAAUAUUGCGAAAUGGGCGCAAGCCUGAUGCAGCCAUGCCGCGGGUAUGAAGAAGGCCUUCGGGUGGUAAAGUACUUUCAGCGAGGAGGCGUGACUCGCAGGAGAAGCAUCGGGUAACUCCGUGCCAGCAGCCGCGGUAAUUC
rnacentral:rRNA from 1 species